GUGCCAGCCGCCGCGGUAAUACGUAGGCAGCGAGCGUUGUUCGGAGUUACUGGGCGUAAAGGGUGUGUAGGCGGCCUAUUAAGUUUGGUGUGAAAUCUCCCGGCUCAACCGGGAGGGUGCGCCGAAAACUGGGAGGCUAGAGUGCGGGAUGGGAGAGUGGAAUUCCUGGUGUAGCGGUGAAAUGCGUAGAUAUCAGGAGGAACACCGGUGGUGCAGACGGCUCUCUGGACCGUAACUGACGCUGAGACACGAAAGCGUGGGUAGCAAACAGGAUUAGAUACCCUUGUAGUCC
rnacentral:rRNA from 1 species